UACGGGGGGGGCAAGCGUUGUUCGGAAUUACUGGGCGUAAAGGGCCCGUAGGCGGCCAACUAAGUCAGACGUGAAAUCCCUCGGCUUAACCGGGGAACUGCGUCUGAUACUGGAUGGCUUGAGUUUGGGAGAGGGAUGCGGAAUUCCAGGUGUAGCGGUGAAAUGCGUAGAUAUCUGGAGGAACACCGGUGGCGAAGGCGGCAUCCUGGACCAACACUGACGCUGAGACGCGAAAGCGUGGGGAGCGAACAGG
rnacentral:rRNA from 1 species